rnacentral:rRNA from 1 species
CAGUCGCCGCGGGAAUACGAAGGGUGCAAGCGUUACUCGGAAUUACUGGGCGUAAAGCGUGCGUAGGUGGUGGUUUAAGUCCGUUGUGAAAGCCCUGGGCUCAACCUGGGAAUUGCAGUGGAUACUGGGUCACUAGAGUGUGGUAGAGGAUAGUGGAAUUUCCGGUGUAGCAGUGAAAUGCAUAGAGAUCGGAAGGAACAUCUGUGGCGAAGGCGACUAUCUGGGCCAACACUGACACUGAGGCACGAAAGCGUGGGGAGCAAACAGGAUUAGAUACCCGGGUAGUCCCUGUCUCUUAUAC